rnacentral:rRNA from 1 species
CAGCCGCCACGGUAAUACGGAGGGGGCUAGCGUCGUUCGGAAUUACUGGGCGUAAAGCGCACGUAGGCGGCUUGGUAAGUUAGAGGUGAAAGCCCGGAGCUCAACUCCGGAAUUGCCUUUAAGACUGCCGAGCUAGUAGGUGAGAGAGGUAAGUGGAAUUCCGAGUGUAGAGGUGAAAUUCGUAGAUAUUCGGAAGAACACCAGCGGCGAAGGCGGCUUACUGGCUCAUUCUAGACGCUGAGGUGCGAAAGCGUGGGGAGCAAACAGGAUUAGAUACCCCCGUAGUCCCUGUCUCUUAUAC